AACACAUUGCAAGUCGAGGGGCAGCGAGAUUGAAGCUUGCUUCAAUUGUCGGCGACCGGCGCACGGGUGAGUAACACGUAUCCAACCUACCGUUUACUCUCGGAUAGCCUUCCGAAAGGAAGAUUAAUACGGGAUGGUAUUGAGGCUUCACAUGAUAACUCAAUUAAAGAAUUUCGGUAAACGAUGGGGAUGCGUUCCAUUAGAUAGUAGGCGGGGUAACGGCCCACCUAGUCGACGAUGGAUAGGGGUUCUGAGAGGAAGGUCCCCCACAUUGGAACUGAGACACGGUCCAAACUCCUACGGGAGGCAGCAGUGAGGAAUAUUGGUCAAUGGGCGCGAGCCUGAACCAGCCAAGUAGCGUGAAGGAUGAAGGUCCUAUGGAUUGUAAACUUCUUUUAUACAGGAAUAAAGUGAGGUACGUGUACCUUUUUGUAUGUACUGUAUGAAUAAGCAUCGGCUAACUCCGUGCCAGCAGCCGCGGUAAUACGGAGGAUGCGAGCGUUAUCCGGAUUUAUUGGGUUUAAAGGGAGCGCAGACGGUUUGUUAAGUCAGUUGUGAAAGUUUGGGGCUCAACCUUAAAAUUGCAAUUGAUACUGGCGGACUUGAGUGCAGAUGAGGUAGGCGGAAUUCGUGGUGUAGCGGUGAAAUGCUUAGAUAU
rnacentral:rRNA from 1 species